CCUACGGGCGGCAGUGGGGAAUAUUGGACAAUGGGGGGAACCCUGAUCCAGCCAUGCCGCGUGUGUGAAGAAGGCCCUCGGGUUGUAAAGCACUUUCAGUGAGGAAGAACGCCUGGUGGUUAAUACCCAUCAGGAAAGACAUCACUCACAGAAGAAGCACCGGCUAACUCCGUGCCAGCAGCCGCGGUAAUACGGAGGGUGCGAGCGUUAAUCGGAAUUACUGGGCGUAAAGCGCGCGUAGGUGGCUUGAUAAGCCGGUUGUGAAAGCCCCGGGCUCAACCUGGGAACGGCAUCCGGAACUGUCAAGCUAGAGUGCAGGAGAGGAAGGUAGAAUUCCCGGUGUAGCGGUGAAAUGCGUAGAGAUCGGGAGGAAUACCAGUGGCGAAGGCGGCCUUCUGGACUGACACUGACACUGAGGUGCGAAAGCGUGGGUAGCAAACAGGAUUAGAUACCCCUGUAGUC
rnacentral:rRNA from 1 species